UGGAUCAAGUGUAUGGAAAGUCUAUAACUGAAGAUUAAAGCUAUGCAUUAGCUUAGAUUGUAAAAGCUGAUUACAUAGAAAAACCCAAAACAUAGUAUGAUUGGCUACAUUGUUCUUUUAAAGGCAGAUUAGAUUAAAUGUAGUAGGGCAGUAGGCUAAAUAUGGAUUAAGUACUCUCAGGGCAUAUUAUUAAUUUGACUGCAAGGUCUAGUACAUGUUCUUUGGAGUCAAAAGAACUUUUAGAAAAAUGUGAGACUACACUUAUUGUGUACCUAUUUCUGCCUGGAUCCCAGCUAGUGCUGAGCUUAUAAAACCCCCAUUCUUAGUUUAAAAACAGAGAAACAAACAGACAGAAGACAAAACAAAGCAUGAGUUCUCAGAAACAAAUUUAUGUACUUAUAUUCCUAUAGGAUCACUUUGGAAAUGGAAGUACCACAGCUCAGCACAAACACACAAACACACAUACACACACACACACACACACACACACACACACACACACACACACACGCACACACACACACACACAUACACACACACAAUCUGUAGGAUACAGCUAAAGCAGAGCUUGAAGUUCAUAGUACUAGUUUUGCACAUUAGAAAACUAUAAAUCCCUUCAAUAAGUAAUAUGAGUUUCCAUCCCAAGAAGAUAAAUAAAGGAAAACAAGACACAACAAGAACAAAGCAUGCAAUGUGGAUAAGACCUGAAAUCAAUGAAAUGGAAAACUCCAGAGAGACAUCUUUGAGAGAUGGAACUAAUGUUUAAAAAACACCAGCAAAAAGAUGGGCAUUGGUGGUGCACACCUUUAAUCCUAGCACUCUGGAGGCAGAGGAAGGCAGAUCUCUGUGAGUUCAAGACCAGCCUAGUGUGCAAGAGACAGUUCCAGGACAGCCUCCAAUGCCACAGAGAAACUCUGUCUCAAAAAAAAAAAAAAGACACCAACAAAGAACUGACAAACUAUCUCAAGUUGGGGAAAGCAAGUUUUAUACAACCUCUACAGAAAAUACUGGAAAUAAUAUUUUCUGACACUCAAUUAGAAGUCAAAACCAAAACUGUAUACUAGUGCAAUGCACACAGGUCAUCAUAAAUAAUAAGCAGAAUUCAUCAGCAUAUAAAACAAAGCCUGAUGAUAGACAGAUGUUUAUUUCAAGGCUGCAGAAUCUGAAAAUCAGUCACCUAUGUGGCAAGAAUGAGAAAAAUGUGGUGCUAUCAACUGAUACAGAAAAAUCAUUUGAUCAAACUCAUAACAUUCUGGGAUUAAAAAAGAAAAAAAAAAAGAACCUAGAGGAAUGCCUUUCUGUCGAUGAAGAGUUGACAGAACCAGUCAGUCAAGCUCAGUUAGUACAUGAAUUUAUCACUAAUAAUAGCAAAAAGGCCAGAUAUUUUUCUCUGACAGCCUUAUUCAGCAUCGUGACCAAAGUUCUACUCACCCACAUUCACAUACACAUACUUGCACAUUAGUUAAUAUAAAACUAAAUUAAAAUACUUAAAAUUGAACAAUCACUAGUAAUCUAUAAAAUACAAAUGGUGUGCAAUUUCCUGCCAACCAGAAUAUACUGCUAAAGGUCUUAAGGGACCAAUUUUUUGUCAGGAACAAGAUACCUGAGAAUUCACACCCAAAUAAUCUAGUUAAAAUACUCUGAAGAGUAGAUGUUUAUUGGAUAUUGAGACUAUUAAUACCUGCAGGUUAAGAUAUUUCAUUGCUGGAAGUAUUUGCCUUGAAGAACUUCCAUUCAAAUAGCCAUGGGAACAGUGAGAGGUGCUGAUUAUGGCUUCAUACACUUGCAAGGAGUUCUGGGGAGUUGGCUCAUUUGGUAAAAUGUUUGUUCAUUGAGCAAGACCGUCACCUAACUCUGGAUACCCAACAUACACAUAGUAGCUAAGCAUGAUGGCACACAUCUUCAAUCCCAGGACUGGAGAGGCUGAGACAAAUGCCUGAAUAUCAUUGACCACCCAGUCUAGCUCAGUUAGUACAUGGUUUCCAAAUUCCAUAAGAGAAUCUGUCUAAAAAAUAAGGUGAUUAGUAACUAAGGAAGAUGCUGAAUGAAUUCUGGCCACCAGACUCCACAUCUGUGCAUGUUUGCACAUGCAUACACACACACACACACACACACACACACACACACACACACACACACACACACACACACUAUACACCCUGUGUAUGUGUACAUGAAUACACAUGUUAAAGGGAACAAAUUAAAGUAAAAUGAAUCUGUUGGGUAAGGUUAUUCUGCUGAUAGGAUAUGAUAUGUGUAGCAACUGAAGUAAAUUGAAUCAUUUUUGUUUGCAUGAAUAACUCUGGUCCUUAAAAACAAACACUCAGAGGGAAAAACAAUUCACCUGAACUUUCAAACCAAAUGGUACUUAAGUAUUUUUCUUUAUUAUGGACAGAUGUAUAUUAUGAAAGAAUACAAACAUUAGAACAAGUGUUAUUUCUGGGGAGGAUAUGGGAAUAAGUGGGUUUUCAGGCUUAUUGGUAAUUGUAUAUUUUCUUUAAGAGAAUGAAAAAUGAAAGGGACUGAAAUUAGAAGUUAGCAGCAGCUGAUGAACAUCUGUUCAUUCUAGCUAGCAUCUACAUACAUAUUUAUUUCACUGUUUUCUCUGACUUUUCAUUUGUUAUCAAUAGUUCCUAAACAAGAAAAAAAAAUAAAGUGACAUAUGGUCUGUGAGAUGACUCAGCACUGAAAACACUCAAGUAUACAGUUUAAAGAGCACAUGCACAAUUAGAAGUCACAAUGUACCUGAGCAUGUAAUUAUCAAAUUUGAAGAUUCCAACAAAGGUAGUUUCCCAGGACCAGUAUACUAUACACAACAGAAUACCAAGAUUUUGACAGUAAUUUGGCCUAGGCAGUGGUGGCGCAUGCCUUUAAUCCCAGCACUCAGGAGGCAGAGACAGGCAGAUCUCAGUGAGUUUGAGCCCAGCCUGGUAUACUGAGUGAGUUCCAGGAUAGUCUCCAAAGCUACAGAGAAACACUGUCUCAAAAAAGAUUUUUGACAGAAAUUCACAAUCCUUUCAAUCAAAAAAUUAUAUAGAAAAUCAAUUUGUCCUUAACUUUCCAAAUUCAUCAGUAUUCUUCAUAAAACUAAACAAAUACAAUAAAUAAAAUUAGCAGACUUUCCCCUUAACAUUUCAUCAAUUGCUGCUCAGUCUUAAAAAGUAUAAUUCUGCUUGCAUGACUUCUCAUACAGAUCGCACCCAACAUUUUAUACCACUAAUCACUGCCUUGCUGCAUGAAUUUCUUAUGAUAAUUAUUUGCAGGUAAAUUUAUCAAUAUUUAGCCCGCUGCUGUAAUUUAAGAUGCAUUCAAAUAAAUACUCGUAUUAAUACAUGUUCUCUCAUGGAGAAGUACAAACAGCACAAAUGGGAUCUUUUAUUGAUGCACAGUACGCGGAAGCCAGGUUCCCACUCACCUCUCCAGAGAAACACACUGCUACCAAUUGUGAGCAGGCUUUGUCACUCUCAGAAAUAUUGACACACCAGUUGAGAUAAUUACUUGUUUGGGCCUGUUCUGGGGAUGUUUCAUAGCAGCCUUGUGUUCUAGCACUAUACUUUUCCCAAGCUGAGAUGACAAAAACACUUCUAAACAUUGGCACAUAUUUUCACAAAGCAUAUUACCAACUUCAGAACUACUACUAAAGCAUAUAUCAUUUGAGACCUUUUACAAUAGGGUCAUACACAAUAAUUAAUGUAUAAUAAAAUAUACGUGGAUUCAUAUAGAUACAUAUAUAACUUCAAAUAUAAAUGAUAAGAUGCCACAUAGAUUAUUGUACACCUUGGUUCUUUUCAGUUAAUAGUAAUUUGUUAGCAUCUUUAAACAAUAAUGCAUUUAGUUUUUAUUUGUUAUCAUUAUUAUUCCUAUUUUUGUGUUGCUAUUGUUGGUUUGUUUAAAACUCUUCUGUUUUAAAAUAAUAAAACUGAUUUGGGUAUGUUCAUCCUGGCAAAAGAAAUUGAUUUGCACUCUGCUGCCAGUGUGCUUUUCCAGUCUGGGUGAGUGUAUGCCUUCUAUUACUAUGAGGCAAAGUAAAUACACCCAACAGGAGUAUUUGCCUAUGCCCCUAAUAUCUCCACAGGUUUCCUGAAUCAUCCUCUCUCAUUUCCUCUUCUUAUGGAAGAGCCAUGUUAUCUAGAUAUAAAUAGACCCUUCAUCCCUGUCAUGUGGUACCUAGAAUGGUCUGUACCCUUUCCUUGAGCAUUUUAAAGCUAACCAUUAUUGAGGCCAUAAAUCACCCAUUCACAGACUCAUUUCCCCUGAAAGGGCCUAGGAGCCUGUCAGGUGCUUUGUAUUUGAGAAAACAUAGCUCUGAGCUGGAAGGUGUACGGCAGGGCACUAAAGUUUCUAGGUCAGGCAUAAGAAGUGCCCUGACCUUCCCUCAUUAACCCCAGUAUCAUCUUUCCACCCCAAGCCUCAGUUUCCUCAGCAUGACAGGAUUUCAGUAAGACUCUUAUCAGUCCUCACCAGUAUGCUAUGAAAGUCUUAACCAAAUAUUUUGCAUAGAUUGUAUUCAGCUCUCUGCAAAUUACCAUGUUGAAUGUCCCUUGGGCAUUUUAUAUUGAUAAAACAAAGUUAGAGGCUAGAGCAGUUUACUGUGUCAUUCCAACAGAGACUCUGGUGAUGAAACCAUAAAUGAAAUUUAUAGUGGUUUAUCUAGAAAUGUCAACAAAAUUUUGCCUCUACUCACUUAGUCUUUGUUACUACUAACAUCAAUUAUUCAAGAUGCAUAAUAUUCUUUAUUCAUAACCCAUUUUUCUAUGCCUAAAAUAAUUUAAUGUUUUAAUAGCACAAUUUAUUCUUUUUUAAAUGAACAAAUAUACACCUAUUGGUCGGAAUUAAAUGUAAAAAAUGUAAACAAAUGUUCUGUAAAUCAUUUUGUAAAUAGUAGGGAUGCAACUGCUAUAAGAUAUUUGAUUGCAUAAAGAUAUGUCACGGUGAGAGCUUGUUGCUGAGACAGAAAAAGACUUGUUACAUAUGGUGCCCAAUGUAGGGCCUCAAAUAUUUACAUAGGGCUGAAGAAAGUGGUCUCUUAGGCUGCCUCAGCAUACAGAGGUGUGGCUCUUUUAAGAAACCAUGCUGUAAAGCCAAUACAGCCAAGCACUUGAGCAGCUAGCAAGGGGAACAACUUCCUGCUUCAGGCAGAAACAACACAUUCCCAGAGCUGUGGUGGAUAAAUGCAGCUCUGGAGUUGGUACCCACCAACAUGAGAGUAGGCUCUCACAGAACACAGAGGGGUAGAGCCAGCACACCAUAUGAUAGUAGUUUUAGAUUUGUAUAAUGGUCAAAGAAUGAAAAUGCAGGAACACAGCAAAGUGGUCCAGACUGAGAAACACUUUUAAGCAAAUACUGUAAAAAUGGGUAAAGAAAGUCAAAAAAUAUUUUAAAAAUAAUAAGUUUUUUGAAGAGAGAGUAAAGAUGGGAAAUAUGAAGGGUAUCUGCAUCCUGUACAUUACUUGUUGACUUUAAAUUUUUAAAUGCUAAUGAACCAGAAGUAAUAGCUGCUGAAAGACAUUGGAUUAUGAAAACUGCUAAAUUUAAUCAACCUAUAUAUCUUUAACAUGUAUUAAGUUCAAAAUGUAAGUCAGAAAAUAUAUUGCAUUGGGGGAGAGAUUAUGCCUCUUUUCCACAGAAAACAAAGGUUAUGGUUCUCUUCAAAAUUAAUAAAGAUUAGAUUUGAUCAGGGGAAACUUCCUGAAAAUCUUGGCUACAGACAUAAAAGGAAAAAAAAAAACAACAAAAAGACUACAGGCAGGUGACAUAUAUGCUGAUAUCUCUACUAUUGGGAUAGCUGAGAGACUCGAUGAAAGCUGAUAAAUCUUGUUGGCUACAGUGUCCUCAUGACAGUUUGAUUAUUCAGUCCAAACAGACUUAUAAAGUUGACAGGAGCUAUUUACCUGAUCAAACAUAGAACAAAACUAAUCUUUAGUUGACUUUUGCACACUAUUAAUAUAGAUAUGUAUGUUACUUAUAAAAAUGUGUAUGUUUUUAGAAGAAAAUGACUAGACACCAAAAAAGAAAAAUAGACCAGAUACUCUGCUGCUCAGAAUGUCUCUGUUACAGUUUCCCCCAAAAUCUGUAUCCAGAACAACUUCUAAGCUGCUAGCUGAGAUGGUCCAGCCUCCUGCCAUGGCUUCAGAUAAGCUCUACAUGUUCCCAUUAAACAGAGACUAAACAAAAAAUAAUCCAGAUAAUUUUCUCAGGACUUGACCAUUAUCCCUGUUUUCUCAAGGCUCCCCAAAGAUGCUAUCAUCCACCAAACAACAGGAAGCAGUCUAGAGAACACAAUCCCCACAUUCUCAAGAGGGGGGAAAUUCUUCAAGCUGCUGUAUUACCCUGUGGAAAUAUAUGUCACUGUAAUUGCUUUAAGAAGAAGCUGAAUGGUUAAUAGUGAGACAGGAAUUAUAGGUGGUAUUUGAGGUAAGAGAGAACUAUUGGGAGUGGGGUGAAGGAGUUGCAAGCCAUAUGUGGAGGAAGCAGAAUAGGCAGAACAGUGAUUACA
rnacentral:lncRNA from 1 species